AGGAGCUGUAUGAAGUGAAAAUGUCAUGUACGGUUUUGUAGAGGCGUCAUUCUUUUGUUUCGCCAUCCAAAAGUACCAGAAAAGGAAAUAUUUAUGCAGUAGGAAUGUUCCAACCUCAU
rnacentral:ncRNA from 1 species